GUAACUUGCGCAGCAGCAGUUUUAGGUUUCACCACUGUGCCUCAUAACUGCUUAAAAAAACAACUUUGUGGAGUAAAAACUGUUGAUGAAACAGAACAGUGACCUCAAACUGAGGAACAUGAGGUUCAGUAGUUGAUGACUCAGUUCAGCGAACAUCCAACAGAAGGAAGACCGCAUUGCCUCAACAUUUACCGUGACCGCAUCCACUCUGGGAAGAUCCAGCAGAAACACACAUUCAUCAGCCGCACGGCGAAGCUGACUGCCGCUGAUUGGCGCUAACUGGAGUCUCAUGACAGUCCGGUCUGGUGUUGCUGCAUUACUCAGUGCCUCGCUCUUCCUUUCUCUCACUCACACAUACAAACACAAACUCAAAUUCUUCAUACAGGCUUCGUCAGCCAUUGUCUGGCGACGUACAGUCAGCACAAAUGCAGCAAACACCCUGACCAAAGUGGGGAUCUGUACAGAGGUGUCUGGUGCAUUUGGCUUGUGGUAUUUUUCAACUUCUCCUCUUAAGACAGUUUUCUGUUGGUUUGUAUCACUACAAACCAACUAACAAACCUUCGUACUUAACAAAUCCACAUUUCUUUUAAGAAGGAAACAACUAUCUCUAAGUGAUAAAUUUCCAAGGUGACCUAUUACGCUUCCUUGACCCGGUUCGGACUAUGGGUUAUACAAAGCAUAUUUAUUAAGUUUUUUGCACAUAA